rnacentral:rRNA from 1 species
AUGAAACUCAUACGCUCCCCACCUGUUGAUUCUUGUUCAGAAUAUCAUCCUAAUGACUAUUCUAACCUCGAGGAGUCAAAGGCAGAUGGCCUGUCCUGUUCACCCAUCAAGACAUCAAAAAGAAAGAGGGUGAUUGCCGAACCCGAAGGAGCACCAGCAAAGUCCUUGAAAAAUGUGAUGGUGCCGGAGAAAUCAGACAGCGCCCCACUUAUAUUGGUUGUACAACCAGUGACACAAAACGUAGGACCAACUCCAGCAGACUGUACCCAUACUUCACUGGCCACACCACUAGCCCCACCACACAGGACCUGCAGUCCAGCAAAAGGGACUACAUGCAUAUAUGCCCAUCAUCGGAAGAUUAUAGUGAAGACAAACACCAUUUUCACAUCUUCCUGUCCAACUUACGUGCGAGGGUCAAUUUGGAUAGUCAUGAUGAGCAAAGCUUGCUUGUGCUUUUCAAGGAAGCAUUGCAGCAGUAUCGGUGUUACCUGA